GUGAAAUAAUAAUAUCGUGUUGGUCCAGACAGUAAAAUAUUGAGUCGGGUUGGUUAUAAAAGCCCAGCCCUCUGGCCUGUACCGUGUCUCGGAGGAGAAGUUCUGCUCUAAACGCUACUAAAGGAUGCGAGCGGUCAAAUUGGACAAAACGAGGCUUCAUUUCUGACGAAUAAUGGGUUGCUUUUCAUACAUUCCUGCUACUUUUAACUCAGCGUCGGUUCGAGGAGGAGUUUAGUUUUUUUUUUUUUUUUCUUUCUGGAACAGCCGCUCACGCUACGCGCAGCUGUUCAUGUCCCGUUUCAAAACCGAAUGCACCGAAUUCUGCCGACGUUCCUUAGUUAACGUUCACUUGUUGAGGAUACUUCACCGCCACUCGGUGUAAACUCGACCGACGCGAAAAAACCGCGGCGGAUCGAGCCAGACCGCACGCCGAAGCGCUGAAAAAACGUCCCUUACCUCCUCCUGCUCCAUGCCUUCAGUGGGCCAGAGACGGUCCCGGACCGUUCACAGGACAGGACGGCUUUCCCUCGAGUCUUCGAAAGUCACACUCCGGCAUUUCCACGGUAAAAUGCGUCCAAACGCAUCGAACCGCGACCCGAAGUGCGGAGCCGCGGCUGCUGCUGGAUGGGAACAUAACGGAGCAGGGGAGCAGAAGGGAACCUUCACAGACAUCCUCGGGGGCAGGACCAGAAACAUACUUCUCCUAAACAUCCCAGAAGUAUUAUUUUGUCAUUAUUUUGACAUUAAUCAUGUCAACAGCUGAAGGGGCGUGGCAUUAUGGACCAGAGAGGCGGAGUCUGAGCGCAUGAUGUGCAACAGAAAUCAGUAGAUAGACAAACAGAUACUACACAAUCAAUUGUACAUAUUAUAUUCCGGUGUAUUUUAUGUGAUAGACCAACACAAAGUAGCGAAUGAUUGUGUUUCUACUACUACUACUACUACUUAUAAUAAUAAUGUAUCAAGGCUCUUUUCAGUUCUUGCAAGACACAUAAAAACCAGCAUGGUGUUUGCUAUAAAACACCUGAAGGACUCCCAAGAUGGUAUGAACCAGGCACUGCUCAUCACCUGUCCAAUACAGUCCCAACAGUGA
ensembl:lncRNA